UGGGGAAUUUUGCACAAUGGAGGAAACUCUGAUGCAGCCACGCCGCGUGAACGAAGAAGGUCUUCGGGUUGUAAAGUUCUGUCCUGGGUGAAGAUAAUGACGGUAACUCCGGAGGAAGCCCCGGCUAACUACGUGCCAGCAGCCGCGGUAAUACGUAGGGGGCGAGCGUUGUUCGGAAUUAUUGGGCGUAAAGGGUACGUAGGCGGUUUGUUAAGUUUGGCGUUAAAUCACGGGGCUCAACCCCGUUCAGCGUUGAAAACUGGCAAACUUGAGAAGUAGAGGGGACAGUGGAAUUCCUAGUGUAGAGGUGAAAUGCGUAGAGAUUAGGAAGAAUACCGGGGGCGAAGGCGACUGUCUGGAUACAUACUGACGCUCAGGUACGAGAGCGUGGGGAGCAAACAGG
rnacentral:rRNA from 1 species